AUGUGUGUUGAAAGAAGAGAUGGUUGGCAUCUCCCUUGAUAGGAAUAGCCUUUGGGGUUUCCUGUUACACAAAUGUCUAAGGCUCCAUGCUUGGGCGGAUCUUAUUCAUUUUUUUUA